GACGAACGCUGGCGGCGUGCUUAACACAUGCAAGUCGAACGGAAAGGCCCUGCUUUUGUGGGGUGCUCGAGUGGCGAACGGGUGAGUAACACGUGAGUAACCUGCCCUUGACUUUGGAAUAACUUCAGGAAACUGGGGCUAAUACCGGAUAGGAGCUCCUGCUGCAUGGUGGGGGUUGGAAAGUUUCGGCGGUUGGGGAUGGACUCGCGGCUUAUCAGCUUGUUGGUGGGGUAGUGGCUUACCAAGGCUUUGACGGGUAGCCGGCCUGAGAGGGUGACCGGCCACAUUGGGACUGAGAUACGGCCCAGACUCCUACGGGAGGCAGCAGUGGGGAAUAUUGCACAAUGGGCGGAAGCCUGAUGCAGCAACGCCGCGUGCGGGAUGACGGCCUUCGGGUUGUAAACCGCUUUCGCCUGUGACGAAGCGUGAGUGACGGUAAUGGGUAAAGAAGCACCGGCUAACUACGUGCCAGCAGCCGCGGUGAUACGUAGGGUGCGAGCGUUGUCCGGAUUUAUUGGGCGUAAAGGGCUCGUAGGUGGUUGAUCGCGUCGGAAGUGUAAUCUUGGGGCUUAACCCUGAGCGUGCUUUCGAUACGGGUUGACUUGAGGAAGGUAGGGGAGAAUGGAAUUCCUGGUGGAGCGGUGGAAUGCGCAGAUAUCAGGAGGAACACCAGUGGCGAAGGCGGUUCUCUGGGCCUUUCCUGACGCUGAGGAGCGAAAGCGUGGGGAGCGAACAGGCUUAGAUACCCUGGUAGUCCACGCUGUAAACGGUGGGUACUAGGUGUGGGGUCCAUUCCACGGGUUCCGUGCCGUAGCUAACGCUUUAAGUACCCCGCCUGGGGAGUACGGCCGCAAGGCUAAGACUCAAAGGAAUUGACGGGGCCCCGCACAAGCGGCGGAGCAUGCGGAUUAAUUCGAUGCAACGCGUAGAACCUUACCUGGGUUUGACAUGGAUCGGGAGUGCUCAGAGAUGGGUGUGCCUCUUUUGGGGUCGGUUCACAGGUGGUGCAUGGCUGUCGUCAGCUCGUGUCGUGAGAUGUUGGGUUAAGUCCCGCAACGAGCGCAACCCUUGUUCACUGUUGCCAGCACGUUAUGGUGGGGACUCAGUGGAGACCGCCGGGGUCAACUCGGAGGAAGGUGGGGAUGACGUCAAGUCAUCAUGCCCCUUAUGUCCAGGGCUUCACGCAUGCUACAAUGGCUGGUACAGAGAGUGGCGAGCCUGUGAGGGUGAGCGAAUCUCGGAAAGCCGGUCUCAGUUCGGAUUGGGGUCUGCAACUCGACCUCAUGAAGUCGGAGUCGCUAGUAAUCGCAGAUCAGCAACGCUGCGGUGAAUACGUUCCCGGGGCU
rnacentral:rRNA from 1 species